CUGCUGCCUUCCGUAGGAGUCUGGGCCGUGUCUCAGUCCCAAUGUGCCGCCCACCCUCUCAGGCCGGCUACUGAUCGUCGCCUUGGUGGGCCGUUGCCCCCGCCAACAAGCUAAUCAGACGCGAGCCCAUCCUGCACCGUAUUACUUUCCACACCGCCCCAUGCAGGGCUGUGCGCCUAUGCGGUAUUAGCAGCCGUUUCCGGCUGUUGUUCCCCCCAGUGCAGGGCAGGUUGCUCACGCGUUA
rnacentral:rRNA from 1 species